GGGCAGGAGACUUGCCCUGCUGGAUCGCUGCUCCGUCCCGUGAGUUCCGUGCAACAGGGCAGUGUGUUGAAGUAACAAGGCUCCCUCCGUCAGCACCAGGAGAUUUGCUCCUAGAAUGUAACACACCAACCGUCAGGAUCCGCAAAGUCUGGUUCACUUGUUUCUCCUCCUUCCCCUCCUGAGAUGGUGGCCCUCGCUGGAUGCAUUGCUCUGAUGAGGAAGUAGAGAGCUCCCUACUUCCUCAUCACAAAAGGCAAACCUAAAUCCAGCUCCUUCAACUGCACAGGGGAGGGAAUCACGGCACCUGCCUCCCAGGACUGUUAACGGAAAAUACACGUGUGCUGGCACGCCCCACACACUCACUGAACUGCAGCCCCUGCGCAUGAAUUCUCAACUUCCCAGCCAUCUGCCUGCCCCUGCCCUCACCCCCGCAGCAGCCAGAGGGAUCCUGGUAAAACCUGGGCUCCAUCGGGGGCCCACGCCGACUGACCAUCCACAGUGGUCUCCUCUCUGGUAACCCUCAUCCUCCCUGUGGCCAACCGGCUCUAGCUGCUCAAAGCCCAGCCCAUGUCUGUGCCCUCAGCCUGUCCACCACCGGGCCCCUGGCUCACCUGCCCAUCCUCUGCCGGAAACUCUCCUCGGAGGAAGAUGUGAAGCC